GGUCGCUUUUCUUUUUUCACGUUGCCCUCUCUUUCCGACGUCAAUCAGCCGAGGAAACUGUACGGACUUGGACGGGGACGGAGGAGCGGAGAAAAAUAAAGAGGAAACAAGAGAAGAAGCUGGGACGAGAGAAAUGGUCGCAGAUUGAGAUACACGUGGAUGAAUAGCCGCCGAAUGGGAGGGGGAAUGAAGACGUCAUAAUGUACAAUACGGAUGACGUCAAGGAUCGCGCGUCAAGAUGAUAUUAACGUAGAUACACGUUACACGUGGCGGCACGACACACGUGAAACCUGCAGGUGUACGCCUCAAGUGAUAUGAUGUCCGUUCAUUUCGAGCAAGAAACG